rnacentral:rRNA from 1 species
GGAAUAUUGGACAAUGGGCGAAAGCCUGAUCCAGCGACGCCGCGUGGGUGAAGAAGGCCUGCGGGUUGUAAAGCCCUUUCGGUGGGGAUGAAAAGCCUUGGUCUAACACACCAGGGUCUUGACCUAACCCAAGAAAGAAGCACCGGCUAACUCUGUGCCAGCAGCCGCGGUAAUACAGAGGGUGCGAGCGUUGAUCGGAAUUACUGGGCGUAAAGCGCACGUAGGUGGCUUUGCAAGUCGAUUGUGAAAUCCCCGGGCUUAACCUGGGAACUGCAGUCGAGACUGCUUUGCUUGAGUAUGGGAGAGGGAGGUGGAAUUUCCGGUGUAGCGGUGAAAUGCGUAGAUAUCGGAAGGAACAUCAGUGGCGAAGGCGACCUCCUGGACCAAUACUGACACUCAAGUGCGAAAGCGUGGGGAGCAAAC